rnacentral:rRNA from 1 species
UACGUAGGGUGCGAGCGUUAAUCGGAAUUACUGGGCGUAAAGCGUGCGCAGGCGGUUUUGUAAGCCAGAUGUGAAAUCCCCGGGCUUAACCUGGGAAUGGCAUUUGGGACUGCAAGGCUUGAGUGCGGCAGAGGAGACUGGAAUUCCUGGUGUAGCAGUGAAAUGCGUAGAUAUCGGGAAGAACACCUAUGGCGAAGGCAGCUCUCUGGGACGGUGCUGACGCUGAGACGCGAAAGCGUGGGGAGCAAACAGG